GGUUCAUUAGCCGGAAGGUAAAUAAAAAUAACAAAGUGCAGUAAACUGUAUUUGCGCUACAAACCAGUGUUAAUUAAUUAAAUUAAUGUGAUAAACGGCAUAAGGGAGUGUUAUUGUACAGUUGAACAAACCCAGAUGACGCCACAAGGAAAUCUGGAGGGUUAUGUUAAUAUUUGAUAAAAAUUUUAAAUCUGGAUUUUUUCUGGAGAAAGAGACAGGCGGGGGAGGAAAAUGCCAAGAUGAGUUGACAGUGAGCCAAUUUGGACGUGAAGCCUUUCUGAUGGAGUCCAUCUUCCAAAGCAGGGCUGCUGGUAAAUAAUGUCUGGUGAGAACCGCGUGCCCGCGAGCAGGAAAACAAGAAGAAGUGGCAGUGAGAAUAAAAAGAGACGAAGCCUGCCUUCGAUCAGCCUCUAAUUGGAGUGAAGGCAGUGAUGAAUCUCUCUGCCUCGCAGCGCCGAUGUGGCCUUCAUUUGUCUGCGAGGACGUGUGAACAUCCCGGGGCCGCUGUUGUUGUGUCUGUGAUGGCCUAUCAGUCCUCCUGCUUAUCUACGGUUUUACCACGGAGAAAAGAAUCGGUCAUUUGAAUCCUCCCGGCCGACAUCAGAAGCUGUUUGGACUCCCAUUCUGACGGCACCCAUUCACUGCAGAGGAUCCACUGAUGAGCAAGUGAUGGAAUGCUGAAUUUUGCCAAUUUUUUUAAAAUUGGACAGUGAGGGCCUGAGGAUUGCGGGAAUCUGGCUUUCCAUCUCCACUUUUACCAGCCGGCAGAACAAUGAAGUCCACACCUCUGUUUGAAUCCAUCCUGCAAUUUCUGAAACAGUGGAGUCAGUGAACCCUGCUAGACCGCGUGAUGGAACUGUGCGGUACGUGCCUUUGGUGUGGAGCUCUCAUACGUGAGCGUUGUUUAUCUCUGUAAGGCCCAGUUGAUUGCAUGCCUCCCCGAGACUCGGCGGCCCCCGCUGCGCUCAGCAGUGUGAAGACGUCGGGGCCAGUUGAGUGGUGGUCAGUAGCUGUCAAUCACAAUGCCAGGGAUCAGGUACUUGCCAUCAUUCUGAAGCCCUGCGUUAGAUUCCAGGCUCUGCUCUCUCAUCUGGUGUUUGAGACGAUAUGGUUGAACUGGUCCUGAUGGAUUUGGCUGAGGGCUUGAUUUUUCACUAGACUUACUCAGAUGUUUGGACUGUAGUGGGUUUCCACAUUCCACUCACAUUCAAAUUUCAAAUUUCAAUAUUUGAAAUCCAAAGCUCUUUUUUAACAUUGAAAU